UUGAAGUGAAUGCAUGCAACUGCUUAAUGAGAAUUAAGCUUACUCUGUAUUGGGUCCCCUUGUGGACAAUAAAGUGGUGUGAAUUCUUAUCUGCAACUUGGUCUCUGUGUGGUUUCUUUUUCCUAUAGCCCAAGACACUCAUCUCGAACUGGGUUGUGUGCCCGCCAAUAUCACUAUAAACCUUAUUAGGUAAUUGAUUAUUACUUUUUGGAUAUUGGUGCUUCAUGAAUUUAAUGAUUAGGCACAACAACCUACCAUGGUGACCACGGAUAACGGGGAAUCAGGGUUUUAUUCUGGAGAGGGAGCCUGAGAAAUGGCUACUACACAGAAGGAAGGCAGCAGGCGCGCAAAUUACCUACUCCUGACGUGGGGAGGUAGUGAUGA